rnacentral:rRNA from 1 species
UACGAAGGGGGCUAGCGUUGCUCGGAAUUACUGGGCGUAAAGCGUAUGCAGGCGGAUCGUUAAGUCGGGGGUGAAAUCCCGAGGCUCAACCUCGGAACUGCCUUCGAUACUGGCGAUCUUGAGUCCGGGAGAGGUGAGUGGAACUCCGAGUGUAGAGGUGAAAUUCGUAGAUAUUCGGAAGAACACCAGUGGCGAAGGCGGCUCACUGGCCCGGUACUGACGCUGAGAUACGAAAGCGUGGGGAGAAAACAGG